rnacentral:rRNA from 1 species
GGCUUAGAGUUUGAUCAUGGCUCAGGAUGAACGCUAGCGACAGGCUUAACACAUGCAAGUCGAGGGGCAGCACGGUGUAGCAAUACACUGGUGGCGACCGGCGCACGGGUGAGUAACACGUGUGCAACCAACCCCGUACCGGGAGAUAACCCGCGGAAACGUGGACUAACAUCCCAUAACACUGGAGGAUCGCAUGAUCUUUCAUUUAAAAUUCCGGUGGUACGGGACGGGCACGCGCGACAUUAGGUAGUUGGCGGGGUAAGGGCCCACCAAGCCGACGAUGUCUAGGGGUUCUGAGAGGAAGGUCCCCCACACUGGAACUGAGACACGGUCCAGACUCCUACGGGAGGCAGCAGUGAGGAAUAUUGGUCAAUGGGCGAGAGCCUGAACCAGCCAAGUCGCGUGAGGGAAGAAUGGUCUAUGGCCUGUAAACCUCUUUUGCCAGGGAAGAAUAAAAGGUACGUGUACCUUCUUGCCAGUACCUGACGAAUAAGCAUCGGCUAACUCCGUGCCAGCAGCCGCGGUAAUACGGGGGAUGCGAGCGUUAUCCGGAUUUAUUGGGUUUAAAGGGCGCGUAGGCGGGACGCCAAGUCAGCGGUAAAAGACAGCAGCUAAACUGUAGCACGCCGUUGAAACUGGCGACCUCGAGACGAGACGAGGGAGGCGGAACAAGUGAAGUAGCGGUGAAAUGCUUAGAUAUCACUUGGAACCCCGAUAGCGAAGGCAGCUUCCAGGCUCGCUCUGACGCUGAUGCGCGAGAGCGUGGGUAGCGAACAGGAUUAGAUACCCUGGUAGUCCACGCCGUAAACGAUGCUCACUGGAUCUUGGCGAUACACAGCCAGGGUUCAAGCGAAAGUAUUAAGUGAGCCAC